AUGUGUGCUAUGCAGGGCCAAGCAAAAAAAAAGGAGAGGAAAGGUAAAAAGAAGGGAGGGGAUGAGAAAGCUGAAAGUGCUCGAAAAGAGAUCAUAGGGAAAAAGAGGGGUAAUCCUUUUGGGGUUCCACCAACAGGGAGUGACCAAAUUUUUUCUGUUGAGAGGGAAAUGGAUAGCUAUGAGCGUGUGCUGUAUGGUGACAUGAGUGUUUCUUCCAAGAGAAUCUAUAUGGGUAGAGUUGACACUGUGAGGGAUGGGGAUGAUAUAGUCACACAUGUAGCAAAGGAAACAGAGGAGGAGGAGGAGGCAUACAUGCAACAGAGGAGGGAGUCGGUUGGAGAUGAUGGCACAUCGGCGGCCUCCGAGGUGGAGGACCGCCGGGCCAAAUGA
rnacentral:rRNA from 1 species